GCGGGCGUGGCGGAAUGGUAGACGCAUGGGACUUAAACUCCCUGGGGCUGAAGCCCGUGCGGGUUCGAGUCCCGCCGCCCGCACCA
rnacentral:tRNA from 2 species